GGUUCGUCGAGGUCUGCUGCUCGUAGCUCCCGUCUCUCUACUCAGGAUACUGCAGAAGUUGAGCAACUACGAGAAGAGCUUAGGCAACAUCAGGAGCGGCAAAGGGUUCAGGAGGAAUACUUGAGGCAGCAUGCUGCUCAACAAGAAUACUAUGCUACUCAGUUUCAACAACAGCAAGCACUGAUACAACAACUAGCACAAGCCCAAGGGAUACAGUUUCCGAUGGCCCCCCCACCUCCACCUUCCAUACAUUUUCCUUGGCCUUCACCUCCACCUCCACCUACCGAACAUCAGGUAUGCAAAUUUAUCAUAAUUUACUUGUUACAUUACGAUGUAACUCCGUGAAUGUCAUUUGUAUAGGUAUAUGAGACUCCUCCAGCUACCUUGCCGGCGUAGCAACAAGAUGAUGGGCUAGACUUUGUCAAUACGCUCUUCGCGAGUGGAGGUAGCGAGCAUCACUCUUCGAUAUUUCCUGAUGUUGAUCGACAGUAGUGGGCUUCCAUUCGAUGUGUUUUGUGAGACUUCAAACUUGUGUCUUGUGAGACUUGUGAAUUCUUAUGUCGAGGUGGAUUUGACUUGUGA